UUUUGUAUUGUUCAUUGCUUUUUGAUCCUUCGAAGUCGGCUCUUACUAUCAUUGAGAAGCAGAAUUCGCCAAGGGUUGGAUUGUUCACCCACCAACAGGGAACGUGAGCUGGGAUUUGACCAGGUU
rnacentral:ncRNA from 1 species